ACACGGCCCAGACUCCUACGGGAGGCAGCAGUGGGGAAUAUUGGACAAUGGGCGCAAGCCUGAUCCAGCCACGCCGCGUGAGUGAUGAAGGCCUUCGGGUCGUAAAGCUCUGUGAGGAGGGACGAACCGCUGCCGGUUAAUAUCCGGCAGCAUGACGGUACCUCCUUAGCAAGCACCGGCUAACUUCGUGCCAGCAGCCGCGGUAAUACGAAGGGUGCAAACGUUGCUCGGAAUUAUUGGGCGUAAAGCGCACGUAGGCGGCUUUUCAAGUCCCAUGUGAAAGCCCACGGCUUAACCGUGGAAGUGCAUGGGAAACUGGAAGGCUUGAGUAGUUAAGAGGAUCGCGGAAUUCCCGGUGUAGAGGUGAAAUUCGUAGAUAUCGGGAGGAACACCAGUGGCGAAGGCGGCGAUCUGGGAACAUACUGACGCUGAAGUGCGAAAGCGUGGGGAGCAAACAGGAUUA
rnacentral:rRNA from 1 species